rnacentral:rRNA from 1 species
UACGUAGGGUGCGAGCGUUAAUCGGAAUUACUGGGCGUAAAGCGUGCGCAGGCGGUUGUGCAAGACCGAUGUGAAAUCCCCGGGCUCAACCUGGGAACUGCAUUGGUGACUGCACGGCUAGAGUGCGUCAGAGGGGGGUAGAAUUCCACGUGUAGCAGUGAAAUGCGUAGAGAUGUGGAGGAAUACCGAUGGCGAAGGCAAUCCCCUGGGCCUGUACUGACGCUCAUGCACGAAAGCGUGGGGAGCAAACAGG